CCUACGGGUGGCAGCAGUGAGGAAUAUUGGUCAAUGGACGAGAGUCUGAACCAGCCAAGUAGCGUGAAGGAUGACUGCCCUAUGGGUUGUAAACUUCUUUUAUAUGGGAAUAAAACGUUCCACGUGUGGGAUUGUGUAUGUACCAUAUGAAUAAGGAUCGGCUAACUCCGUGCCAGCAGCCGCGGUAAUACGGAGGAUGCGAGCGGUAUCCGGCUUUAUUGGGUUUAAAGGGUGCGUAGGCGGGUUAUCAAGUCAGCGGGAAAAUCGUGGAGCUCAACUCCAUCCAGCCGUUGAAACUGGUGCUCUUGAGUGGGCGAGAAGUAUGCGGAAUGCGUGGUGUAGCGGUGAAAUGCAUAGAUAUCACGCAGAACUCCGAUUGCGAAGGCAGCAUACCGGCGCCCGACUGACGCUGAAGCACGAAAGCGUGGGUAUCGAACAGGAUUAGAUACCCUUGUAGUC
rnacentral:rRNA from 1 species